GUGUCAGCCGCCGCGGUAAAACGUAGGUGGCGAGCGUUAUCCGGAUUUACUGGGCGUAAAGCGUGUGCAGGCGGACGGGCAAGUGGUGUAUGAAAGCUCCAGGCUUAACCUGGAGAGGUUAUGCCAGACUGCACGUCUUGAGGCAGAGAGAGGGACAUGGAAUUCCGGGUGUAGUGGUGAAAUGCGUAGAGAUCCGGAGGAACUCCAGAGGCGAAGGCGGUGUCCUGGCUCUGACCUGACGCUCAGACACGAAAGCAUGGGGAGCGAACGGGAUUAGAUACCCGCGUAGUCC
rnacentral:rRNA from 1 species